rfam:Glycine soja cultivar W05 scaffold620_1, whole genome shotgun sequence.
UAGAGAAACAUCAUUGAGUGCAGCGUUGAUGAAGUUUCACUCUCAUCUCAGGUAGAUGCUUAAUUUAUAGUGUUAUUGUCAUCGACACUGCACUCAAUCAUGUUUUUC